rfam:Archaeon CG2_30_31_98 isolate CG2_30_31_98 cg2_3.0_scaffold_24802_c, whole genome shotgun sequence.
GCGCUUGUGGUCUAGUGGCAAGACAAGAGCUUCCCAAGCUUUUAACCUGAGUUCAAAUCUCAGCAGGCGCA